CUCUCAUUAUUCCAAUAAUCUUGCCUUAUUUAGUCACAGCAAGAAGCAAAAUUCUCCCCAACAAAAUUUGAAUGGUGUGUUGUCUAUUGAUUUAGAAUGGACAGAGGCGCAGACGGUUCAUCGUGGGGCGGCGGCGGCGAUCCAUCCGCCGCCGCUCCCCCGACUCCGAGCCGGUACGAGUCGCAGAAGCGGCGGGACUGGAACACCUUCGGGCAGUUCCUCCGGAACCAGCGGCCGCCGGUGGCGCUGCCCGAGUGCAACAGCAACCACGUGCUGGAUUUCCUCCGUUACCUGGAUCAGUUCGGGAAGACGAAGGUGCACCUCCAAGGCUGCAUAUUCUACGGGCAGCCGGAGCCGCCCGCCCCCUGCACCUGCCCGUUAAGGCAGGCGUGGGGCAGCCUCGAUGCCCUAAUCGGGCGGCUCCGUGCGGCCUACGAGGAGAACGGGGGGUCUCCCGAGACCAACCCGUUCGCCUCGGGGGCCAUUAGGAUCUACUUGAGGGAAGUCAAGGAGUGUCAAGCUAAAGCGAGGGGGAUUCCCUACAAGAAGAAGAAGAAGCCCGCCAAAAACAACGAUGAUGAUUCCAAUUCUUCUUCCUCUUCAUCAAUGCCGUUUUCUUGAAUCUCUAUUUCCAACAUCAUUUACAUGGCUGCGCUUGAGUCGAGAUAUGUCGUGCAUAUCCACGGGAGUAGAUGUGGUAGAAGGCAUGCAGAGAUGUAAAUGCAUGCAGCAGAGGAAGAUAGUGUUUUCACAGGUUAGAUGAAUGCGUCAGUCGUCGAUAGCGGUGAAUGGGGAAAGAUGAUGAUUUGGCUCAUGUGAUGACGACAGCGUCGUUGGAUUUUCAAAGAAUGAUGGAAAGAUUUUCAGAAUAAACGAGAAAAAGAGUGAUGAAGAUAGAGAGAAAUUAGAAAUGAGUUGCAGGAGAUUUAAAUUUGGCGGAGGAAUAGUUUUAUACAAAAUCCUAGAAAUUGACUAUAAUUUAUAGAAACUAAGUUGAUGGACAACUAUUGAUUUCUACUCUCUAUAUUGAAUAGAUCAAAUUUUGCCUCUUAAA